CCUACGGGAGGCAGCAGUGAGGAAUAUUGGUCAAUGGACGAGAGUCUGAACCAGCCAAGUAGCGUGAAGGAUGACUGCCCUAUGGGUUGUAAACUUCUUUUAUAUGGGAAUAAAAUGUUCCACGUGUGGGAUUUUGUAUGUACCAUAUGAAUAAGGAUCGGCUAACUCCGUGCCAGCAGCCGCGGUAAUACGGAGGAUCCGAGCGUUAUCCGGAUUUAUUGGGUUUAAAGGGAGCGUAGGUGGAUUUUUAAGUCAGUUGUGAAAGUUUGCGGCUCAACCGUAAAAUUGCAGUUGAAACUGGCAGUCUUGAGUACAGUAGAGGUGGGCGGAAUUCGUGGUGUAGCGGUGAAAUGCUUAGAUAUCACGAAGAACUCCGAUUGCGAAGGCAGUUCACUGGACUGCAACUGACACUGAGGCUCGAAAGUGUGGGUAUCAAACAGGAUUAGAUACCCGUGUAGUC
rnacentral:rRNA from 1 species